GGGGAAUCUUAGACAAUGGGCGCAAGCCUGAUCUAGCCAUGCCGCGUGAGCGAUGAAGGCCUUAGGGUUGUAAAGCUCUUUCGCUGGGGAAGAUAAUGACGGUACCCAGUAAAGAAGCCCCGGCUAACUCCGUGCCAGCAGCCGCGGUAAUACGGAGGGGGCUAGCGUUGUUCGGAAUUACUGGGCGUAAAGCGCGCGUAGGCGGAUUGGAAAGUUGGGGGUGAAAUCCCGGGGCUCAACCUCGGAACUGCCUUCAAAACUCCCAGUCUUGAGUUCGAGAGAGGUGAGUGGAAUUCCGAGUGUAGAGGUGAAAUUCGUAGAUAUUCGGAGGAACACCAGUGGCGAAGGCGGCUCACUGGCUCGAUACUGACGCUGAGGUGCGAAAGCGUGGGGAGCAAAC
rnacentral:rRNA from 1 species